rnacentral:rRNA from 1 species
GUCCACGCUGUAAACGAUGGUCACUAGGUGUGGGGGGUGUCGACUCCCUCCGUGCCGAAGCUAACGCAUUAAGUGACCCGCCUGGGGAGUACGGCCGCAAGGCUAAAACUCAAAGGAAUUGACGGGGGCCCGCACAAGCAGCGGAGCAUGUGGUUUAAUUCGACGCAACGCGAAGAACCUUACCUGGGCUUGACAUGUUCCUGACCGGCGUGGAAACACGUCUUCUCUUCGGAGCAGGAUCACAGGUGGUGCAUGGCUGUCGU